rnacentral:sRNA from 1 species
UUUGUUUAUGGUAUUUUUUCUUCUUUUCAGUGAAAAGACAUUAAAGUGGAGCCACAUCAUAAUUACUAUUUUAUAGCCUUCUUCUUUCCACUUAAUCUAUCAUAAACAUUUUUUCGUAUCCAUAACUAUGGGCCAUGAUCUUCAUUUUCAAUGCAGACACCUGCAUUGUUCUAUUUUAAUUCUUUCCACAGGAUAGAAUCACUUGAAUUCCUGGAUGAAAUGGAGCUGCUGGAGCAGCUCAUGCGGCAUUACUGCCUUUGCUGGGCAACCAAAGGAGGAAAUGAGCUCGGGCUGAAGGAGAUAACUUAUUAAUCUGUUGAAGGCUUAUGCCGAGCCAGAAGCCGAAGCCACUUGCCCUCCUGGAGACCUGCAAGCUCCCUGAGCAGUGGGCGGGCCUCGUCCGCAGGUCUCAUCCCACAGUCUUGAGAAGCCUCGGUCACUACAGUGGUCGCACAUGUUCCUCUUCCUGUUCCUGUUGACAUGUCGUUGUUUAAAUAAAUCUCACUUGCCACCA